AUGAAGGGUCCAACUCCAUUAUCUUCUUUGAUUCAUGAAGCUACUAUGGUCACUACUCACGUUUUCAUGAUAGCAAGCUUUGAUUGAUAUCAUCAUUGUGGCAACCACUGGAAUAUCAUAGAAUGAUCUAACGAGGGUCAUAACUUAUCCAACUUGCAGUCAAUUAGGCUACAUGAUCUUUCCUUGCGGCAUGUCUUACUAUUCCAUUAG
rnacentral:rRNA from 1 species